rnacentral:tRNA from 1 species
GCCGAUGUGGCGGAAUUGGCAGACGCGCUAGACUCAAAAUCUGGUUCUCGCAAGGGAGUGGGGGUUCGAUCCCCUCCAUCGGCACCA